UAAGACGAACCGUGCGAACGUUAUUCGGAAUCACUGGGCUUAAAGCGCGUGUAGGCGGGUCGGCGCGUCGGACGCUGAAAUCCCCCGGCUCAACCGGGGAACGGGCGCCGAAACGGCCGGCCUGGAGGGGGGUAGGGGGCGCUGGAACUCACGGUGGAGCGGUGAAAUGCGUUGAGAUCGUGAGGAACGCCCGCGGCGAAAGCGAGCGCCUGGACCCUUUCUGACGCUGAGACGCGAAAGCCAGGGGAGCGAACGGG
rnacentral:rRNA from 1 species